UACGGGGGGGGCAAGCGUUGUUCGGAAUUACUGGGCGUAAAGGGCGCGUAGGCGGCCUUCUAAGUCGGACGUGAAGUCCCUCGGCUUAACCGAGGAACUGCGUCCGAUACUGAAAGGCUUGAAUCCGGGAGAGGGAUGUGGAAUUCCAGGUGUAGCGGUGAAAUGCGUAGAUAUCUGGAGGAACACCGGUGGCGAAGGCGGCAUCCUGGACCGGUAUUGACGCUGAGGCGCGAAAGCUAGGGGAGCAAACGGG
rnacentral:rRNA from 1 species